rnacentral:rRNA from 1 species
AUUGAACGCUGGCGGCAUGCCUUACACAUGCAAGCCGAACGGCAGCACGGGUGCUUGCACCUGGUGGCGAGUGGCGAACGGGUGAGUAAUACAUCGGAACGUACCUUAUCGUGGGGGAUAACGCAGCGAAAGCUGUGCUAAUACCGCAUACGCCCUGAGGGGGAAAGCGGGGGGUCGAAAGACCUCGCGCGAUUAGAGCGGGCGAUGCCUGAUUAGCUUGUUGGUGGGGUAAAAGCCCACCAAGGCGACGAUCAGUAGCUGGUCUGAGAGGACGAUCAGCCACACUGGGACUGAGACACGGCCCAGACUCCUACGGGAGGCAGCAGUGGGGAAUUUUGGACAAUGGGGGCAACCCUGAUCCAGCAAUGCCGCGUGAGUGAAGAAGGCCUUCGGGUUGUAAAGCUCUUUUGUCAGGGAAGAAACACCGGCUCUAACACAGUCCGGGAAUGACGGUACCUGAAGAAUAAGCACCGGCUAACUACGUGCCAGCAGCCGCCGUAA